GACGAACGCUGGCGGCGUGCCUAAUACAUGCAAGUUGAGCGCUGAAGGUUGGUACUUGUACCGACUGGAUGAGCAGCGAACGGGUGAGUAACGCGUGGGGAAUCUGCCUUUGAGCGGGGGACAACAUUUGGAAACGAAUGCUAAUACCGCAUAAAAACUUUAAACACAAGUUUUAAGUUUGAAAGAUGCAAUUGCAUCACUCAAAGAUGAUCCCGCGUUGUAUUAGCUAGUUGGUGAGGUAAAGGCUCACCAAGGCGAUGAUACAUAGCCGACCUGAGAGGGUGAUCGGCCACAUUGGAACUGAGACACGGCCCAAACUCCUACGGGAGGCAGCAGUAGGGAAUCUUCGGCAAUGGACGAAAGUCUGACCGAGCAACGCCGCGUGAGUGAAGAAGGUUUUCGGAUCGUAAAACUCUGUUGGCAGAGAAGAACGUUGGUGAGAGUGGAAAGCUCAUCAAGUGACGGUAACUACCCAGAAAGGGACGGCUAACUACGU
rnacentral:rRNA from 1 species